UGAAUGCACUAAUUGCAAGUCGCUUUGGAUAAGAGCGUCUGCUAAAUGACUACAA
rfam:Salmo salar isolate Sally breed double haploid chromosome ssa22, whole genome shotgun sequence.